UACAGAGGUCUCAAGCGUUGUUCGGAUUCAUUGGGCGUAAAGGGUGCGUAGGCGGCGCGGUAAGUCGGGUGUGAAACCUCCAGGCUCAACCUGGAGACGCCAUCCGAUACUGCUGUGGCUAGAGUCCGGUAGGGGAGCGUGGAAUUCCUGGUGUAGCGGUGAAAUGCGCAGAUAUCAGGAGGAAGACCAGUGGCGAAGGCGGGUCUCUGGACAGUUCCUGACACUGAGGAGCGAAAGCGUGGGGAGCGAACAGG
rnacentral:rRNA from 1 species